UUUCUUUUUAAAUGUUUAUGGUAGAAGAACAUCAAGUAUAGUUGUCAACAGACUUCUUAAUAUUACUGGUUGUGCCUGUGCCUCCAAAGCAUGGAUUUGAUAGCUCCAAUAUUGUAAUCUAAAUUUCCUGGCAAUGCCCCCACUGCUGGAUAGAUUGCUGUUGACAGCUUUUGACCAGAGGGAGCCAUUAGAUUUUGCUGGCUAGCAAACAAUUACAGCUUUGAUAUGAGCUACAAGGGUAUUUAUUACAAAGGAAAGCAGGGUGAGAACCCUCUGACAGACAUGAGGCCAUGAGGCUUUAUAUGAAAACCUCAAGCAUCUGUGACUGACUGGCAUAAAACCAUGAGUAUAAAACGCUUCAGAUCUGAUCCACCUCACCUUUCUGGAUUUGAUUUCUAGCUUUUCUACUCACUAGGCUCUACCUCUCCCCUGAGUAUUAGAAGUCUGAAAAGAAGAGCUGUCUCCAUGAAGAUGGGCCAAAUGCCCUCCCUCCUGUGGCUGAUUGUGCUACAUCAUCCCAACAUGAUAAACCAGAAAUCUUUGACAUUGUGAAGUCAGCAUGUGAUGGUCAUAAGAACACAAGACUUGGGGAAGGUGACAAGCCAGGGUUUAUAUUGAUGCUCUCCAUUGUUAGCUACAUAGUCACAGAAAGUAGCUGACUAUGUUUGAAAGGCAGGUAUUAAAAACAUUACUUUAGGGGAAAGAGGUAUAUAGGUUUUACGUGUCACCACAGAAGGCAAAACUAGGACUUCCUGAUAGAUAUGAUAGGAGUAUAUAUUUUCAACGUAAUACACUGAAAAAUCUUCAUUGAAGCAACUUCAAAAUGAAAUUUAAUGUUUUAUGAAACACAAUUUCUUCAUCCUUAAAUGUAUUUUAGUAGAGAAAAUGUGACUACGAGUUAAAGAAAGAAAUGCAUGUAUCAGAUGAGAAAGAAGGGAGGUUGCAUGAGGAAGCAGCAAAAGAUGUUUCCAAUCUGAGAUUUUCAAAUUCUCUAGUUUUAGUUUAAUUGAAUUGGCUUAAAUUAAACUCUCAUUCAAGUAUAUUUUAUACUUGAAUUUCAGGACUAUAUUCGUUUAUAGAAACAAAGUGUACUAAAUGUAAAACUUCUUUAUCAAAUGGAUAUAUACUAUAAAAUAACUUUCAAACUUAAUUUGUGUAGAAUUUGUACUUGGAUUUAGGGAUGUAUGAGCCAAUAUUAUGUUUAAUUCUUUAGUGGUUGAGAAAAUUUUAAUACAUUUCUUGGGGAAUCUAUACGCAUGUACAUACACAACAGAUUUUGUGAUAAUUCUGUACAACUAUCUACUGCUCUACUUUUCUCAUUGUUCCCAAAUACUGAAAAAUUCAGAACAUUAUAUUUUCUUUGAAAUGAAUAGAUUAUUUAUCAAAGAAAUUACACUAUUAAUCUUAGAGUUUCUAUAGUGAUUCAAACAUCAUUUACAU
rnacentral:lncRNA from 1 species